rnacentral:rRNA from 1 species
GACGAACGCUGGCGGCGUGCUUAACACAUGCAAGUCGAACGGAAAGGCCCUGCUUUUGUGGGGUGCUCGAGUGGCGAACGGGUGAGUAACACGUGAGUAACCUGCCCUUGACUUUGGGAUAACUUCAGGAAACUGGGGCUAAUACCGGAUAGGAUCUCCUGCUGCAUGGUGGGGGUUGGAAAGUUUCGGCGGUUGGGGAUGGACUCGCGGCUUAUCAGCUUGUUGGUGGGGUAGUGGCUUACCAAGGCUUUGACGGGUAGCCGGCCUGAGAGGGUGACCGGCGACAUUGGGACUGAGAUACGGCGCAGACUGCUACGGGAGGCAGCAGUGGGGAAUAUUGCACAAUGGGCGGAAGCCUGAUGCAGCAACGCCGCGUGCGGGAUGACGGCCUUCGGGUUGUAAACCGCUUUCGCCUGUGACGAAGCGUGAGUGACGGUAAUGGGUAAAGAAGCACCGGCUAACUACGUG